CUCCCGCCGCGCGUCGCCCUCCCGCCAACGAGAUGGGGGCGGGGGCGGGGCCACCCGCGAGGCGCCCCCGCGCGCCGUCUCCCCGCGCACGCGCGGCCUCCUCGUGCGGCGCUGCCAGUGAGGCGCGCGCGGCCUCCUCGCGCGGCGGUGACGGGAGAAAACGUUAAUUUUAGGAAAUGGCAGAAGCAGUUUUUCAUCCGCCAAGAAGGAAAAGAAGAGUUUUUGAGACAUACGAUGCUCCCUUUCCUGUGGAUGUAGGUGGGAAGGAUUUCAGAAUGUGCCGGGCUGAAAUCAUUAACAACAAUGUUAUUGUGAGGAACCCUGAAGAUAUUGAGCAGCUGUAUAACAAGGGCUAUUUUGGAAAAGGUAUCCUUUCAAGAAGUCGCCCGGUGCACAGCAUUUCAGAACCUUCGCUGGUUACUAAGUGGCAAGGUGCUAACAAAAACAUGCCUAUAAUUACAUCAAAAAAGUACCAGCGACGUGUUCAGUGGGCUAAAAGUAUUUUGCAAGAGCAAGGAUUUGAUGAUGGCUCGGUUACCAGAAUUCUUGAAAAUUACACGAAGCCUCUUGAGCUGCCAUUGUUAAAAGAGGAUGGAACCGAGCCAACCGGAAAUAGUUGCAACAGAAUGGGCCCAAAUACAGAUCUUUCCAGACAGUCUUCUACAGAUACGGGAAAUAUAGGAGCCCUGAGUGCUGAGAACGAGAAUGCUGGCUGCAAGCAAGCCCGUUUGGAAGGGGACCCGGCGUGUGCUCCUGUGACCAUAUGUGGCUCUAAAGAACGGCAGCAAGGGGACUCGAAAGAGAGAGCCGAAGCGUCCUGCCAGGAGCGCGGUUUUCUCGUGUGUUGUGGCUGUGAGGCGAAGGAGAGCGUGGAGCAACAGUCCUGUGAGACGAUCGAGUCAAAAGAGUGUGCUCCAGAAUACGUCUUGGUGGAAGAGGAAGAUGAAGGCAGUUUACAUCCAGAAGGUGACUCUGCUCACGAGCAAGAAAAUCUUGUCAAGAAGGAAAAACUAGUAUGCAGAAGAAAUCCAUUUAGCAUUUCUGAAUAUUUACAACUCAGCUUGGAAGAGGCUUUUUUCUUGGUGUAUGCUCUGGGAUGUUUGAGUAUUUAUUAUGGUGAGGAGCCCCUAACUAUUUUGAAGCUAUGGGAAGUUUUCAGCGAAGUCAAGCCCAACUUUAAAACGACGUACAUGGCGUAUCACUACUUCCGCAGUAAGGGCUGGGUCCCCAAAGUCGGACUCAAGUAUGGAACAGAUCUCUUGCUCUAUCGAAAAGGCCCCCCCUUCUAUCAUGCAAGUUACUCUGUCCUUGCUGAAUUAGUUGAUGAUAGUUUUGAAGGUUCUCUUCGCAGACCGCUCAGCUGGAAGUCCUUGUCUGGCUUGAACAGAACCACUGCUAAUGCUUCUAAGGAAUUGAUGUUAUGCUAUUUGAUUAGACCAUCUGACAUGACUGAAAAAGAAAUGUCGACACCAGAAUGUAUGAAAAGAAUUAAGGUUCAGGAGCUGAUUGUAAGUCGUUGGGUUUCUUCCCGUGAGCGCAGCGAGCAAGAUGAAUUUUAACUGACUGCAGAGGAAAGGCUUUUCAUUUUGAAACCACAUCUUAUUGGUUUUUACCUGAUCUUCUCAUGAUGAACCAUUACCUCAGAACAGUUUCUAUCAACAUACUGAGUUGGCAAGAUGAUGUCUGUGUUCACUCACUUGAACAGAAUGAUGCUCAGGCUGCUUGUCACACGCGCGGUCACCGAGCAGCAGUUCCAGGACGGCUGUUUCCCUGGAGAGCAGCUCACUGCUGUGGCAGCGCCUUUUAGCCGGGCUGUGUAACUUGUAACGCUCUCAUUGGGCACUGACUUCAAGGAAAGCUACAAAGAACUGAACGUUCUCGGUGGAACAUACCGGUUUAAUUCAAAAUAUGUGGAAGUCUUUCUGUAUUUAACUAUCCAAAGCAAUGUUAUGAGCCAGCUGGAAAUGAGCCUGUUUCCCAUUUCUGGUCGUUGGCAACAAAGAAGUCACCUGGAUGCGAGAUCUGGGCAAGAAUCCCAUCAGUGUGGUCAGCCUGUGCAAGCAAAUACACCCAAAACUGUUCAAACUUGGAAGAAAUAAUUACAGAAUUGCACCUGGACUUUCUUUCUCAGCACUGUCCUCUUAUAAGAGACGCUUCAUUGAACUGUUUCACAGAAAGUUCUUUUGUUGCUGGAGAAAACUUCCCUAAAAUGAUUUUAGAGCUUUUACAUUCCAGCAGAUGAGUUUGUUAUUUAGAAAUCUAAAAUAUUCUCUCUGUUCAGCACGGCCUGUACAUUUCAAGACAGCCUGACAGCGUUGUUCAGCCUGGUUUGUUAGACAUGUGUGUUUGAAAGGAGCGAGGCUCUGAAUGAACAACGGAAUAGCCCCAUUUCUCAUCCCAGACUAAAAACUCCUCUUGCGUCCAGCUUUUAAACUCUGUACCUGUGAGGCAGCCAGGCCUGUCCCGCGGAAAACUCCUCCAGGAGCUGAUCCCACUGCUGCAGCAGCCCAAACAUGUGUGGCUGUACCAGCGGGACACUGAUGCACUGCUCCCAGCCCGUCCCAGCUCUCUGAACGCCCUCUGCAUCGUAAUUAUACACCACGCCUGCAAACAAAAGCAGCAGAUCGUCAGGUGGCACUGGAGCGUCUGAUCCAUGGCCUUUGGUGUUGGUUUUGUUCUGUUUUCGGUGAGGAAAGCUACUACUAUUUCUCCAUCCUGCCGUUCUUUCUUGUGCUGGCUGUACCAUGGCCUUCCCAUUGGUGGCCUCUGUGGCUACAGAGUAGAAAAUGCAGCGCUUGCUUUUAUCACAAACCUGGUCUUAUUUUUACAGUGCAACUUCGGCUGCCUUCUGAUGAUGCAAGCAACUUGAGCACAACCAGGCUGCUUUUUUAAACCCACACAUGAGACAGCUUUUAUAUUAAAGAAACAUCUCAAGCGAGGUUUUGCAGGUUGGGCCUACUGUAGCAGAACCUGAUACAAUUUUUAACGUGGGGAUUUUUCUUUUGAACGAGGACUAUAUUUUAGAAUUAGCAAAAACUGUGCUUAAGUCAAAAUUUCCUGAAGCUACUUUCAAAAAGCAGGCUGUGAAGCUUUUUAUUCCCUGCAUCAGGAAUAAAGUCACCUGUCCAUUCUA